rnacentral:piRNA from 1 species
UCCUCCAUCAAGAAUGCGUAUGAGGUGAUGC